rnacentral:lncRNA from 1 species
AAGCCUGCAUCCCGUGAUCUUCUCUUUGACGGUUCGACUUUGCUUCCAUAUCUCCUCCUUCGGUCCUCCACAGCCUCCAUGACCAUUGUCCGUGCACAGCCGCCGUCUGCCGCAGCUUUGUCAAUCGUCCUUCUCAGGUGUCAGCGAUCUUAGCCGUGAGGAGCGAGCGACACACCGUUCCCGUUGACGCCGUCGUCCGUCGGCAUCCGGUAUUGCUGUACGCUAUACCUGUACUGAUUGUGAUUGGCGUCCCAUCCGACACCAGAACGAGAACCCCUUCAAUUUGUAAGUUUAUUUUUUCUUCUCUUCUGAUUAUUAUCUUUUACGAUUAUAUAGGAACUAUGAUAUUAUAGAUUGCUCUUCAAUCUUCAUUUAGAAAAUUGGAUCUUGUCAAAUCCAAAAUAGCUGAAAACAAAAUUUCCAGAAAAAAGAGAUAAUUGGAUCUCAUUUUUAGGCCAUCGAUCGUUGCAUGUUGUGUGACUGCGCCCCAAGUUUAGUCCAUCGAUCGUGCGUGUUCUCCCCGUCUUCUCUCGCCUAGAUCAGAUAAAUCUACCCAUGUCUGGUCUAUUGCAGCGGCGAAGCCACGCUAUACCUAUGUGGUAGAAUGACUAGAGGAAUUUAGCAAGUCUACGUAACUACUAGAUGCAUGCACACCCCGCUGCUAAACAAAUUACUUAAAGCUGACUACACAGUCCAUGUGAUAUCAUUGCCUGUCAGGGCUAUCAGAAUUCUUAGAUGUCAGGCUUUUUAACCUUUUUUUUGCAUGUUGCAUAUGAAUUAUGAUAUUAUUCCCUAGAAAAAAAUUAUACCUAUAUUUGAAUCAUAGUUGUAUAUGAAUUUCACUUUUGCAGAAUGUGUUAGUCAUAGAUAUGGAUAUUGUUGACCAUAAAAAAGAACCUAUCAACAAGAGCCCGAAGGUCAUGUCGUUGGAAGAGACUAAAACCUCAGCAAGUUCUAUACAGCCUACAGAUGCGCAGAUAGAAAUAGCCAAUUUACGUCAUACCAAACCAAGAAGAGCAAAUACAAAUAUUACACCGGGAGGACAUGAAAGAUAAUUUGAUUAAGCGCAACUGGACAUGAUUUACUAGGUGUAGUUUCUGUGAUCGGGAUGAAACUAUCAAGCAUCUUUUCUUUGAUUGCCCGAUGGCGAGGGUGUUGUGGCGCUCGGUGCAAAUUUCCUUUAACAUUACUCCUCUGAAUUCGGUCAGGUCGUUUUUUGGAACGUGGCUGGUUGGUAUAGAGGCCGAAACAGCUAGACAAAUUCGAGUGGGAGCAUGUGCGUUGUUAUGGGCAAUUUGGAACUGCAGAAAUGACUUGGCUUUUAACAGAACAACAACUAUUCAUUUUUUACAGGUUUUAUUCCGGGCCUGCGCUAAUCCGUACGUGUUCAUUACUCACUCCGACGGAGGCCAGGGCGCGUUUGGUUACUGGAUCUGUCCGGUGGGAGAUGGUAGCGCGGGAUAUCUUCAACCGGUUUGGAUGACAGUCAUGUAAUAGGAUAGGCGCUUAGUUUACCUAUCUCUCUUUAUUAUGCCAGCCGGUUGUGGCUUUUGAGCCUUGUUUUACUUUGCUAGCUCUAUGUGAGCCAGCAUCCUUUAUUGCAGCACUUUGCAAGACAUUGUUGAACUACUUUAUUUAUUUAUAAAUGUGGCCGUAUGCAUCGUUCUGAUGCAGAGGUAGGGG